GACGAACGCUGGCGGCGCGCCUAACACAUGCAAGUCGAACGGGAAUUGGCUGGAGCUUGCUCUGGCCGGUUUCAGUGGCGGACGGGUGAGUAACGCGUGAGGAACCUGCCCUUCAGAGGGGGACAGCGUCUGGAAACGGACGUUAAUACCGCAUGAAAUUUUUCCGCCGCAUGGAGGAGAAAUCAAAGGAGCAAUCCGCUGAGGGAUGGACUCGCGUCCGAUUAGCCAGUUGGCGGGGUAAUGGCCCACCAAAGCAGCGAUCGGUAGCCGGACUGAGAGGUUGAACGGCCACAUUGGGACUGAGAGACGGCCCAGACUCCUACGGGAGGCAGCAGUGGGGGAUAUUGCACAAUGGAGGAAACUCUGAUGCAGCGACGCCGCGUGAGGGAAGACGGUCUUCGGAUUGUAAACCUCUGUCCCCGGUGACGAUAAUGACGGUAAUCGGGGAGGAAGCUCCGGCUAACUACGUG
rnacentral:rRNA from 1 species